GUCCACUCUGUCCCUACUGUCCACUCUGGGAUUCCUCGCUACUGGGACAUUCCAGAGGGAAAUUAGUGACAGGUCGGGUAUAUCACAGCCAUCAUUCAUCCUGCCACAAGUGAUCGAGGCGAUUCUACACAUAUUGUCCACGAGAUACAUUAGAUACAUUAGUUUCCCAUUUACAGCCGACGAACAGGCGCGCGUCAAAGUCGAGUUUGUCCGCUCAUUUAAUUUCCCAUGGGUCAUCGUGACUGCACGCAUAUUGCCUUACACUCACCGUCUGUAGAUGUACAUGUGGACGUUAACAGGAAGAAUUUCCAUUCAUUGAAUGUUCAGAUCUGCGAUGCCCGUAUGCAACUACUCAAUGUGGCCAGGGUCUACCCACAACUCAAACGUUCAACAAUUGCAUUAUGUAAAUGAAUCAAACCCUGCGUAUUCUUCCGAGUUCAGUCACAAUCUGCCCAACCGAUGUGUUCAACUCGUUCUGGGUUUGCAGGAUUUAGGCGGUCAACACGCGAACAGAGGACAUGGACACAGAUGUGGAUGGACCCUCGAAACCUGUGGUCAAACAUUCCCCUUCACUCCUGGUACCUGCUGAUUUGGGAGCCUCACGCACUUUAUCACACCGAGGUAAAGUUGGUUUUACAUUCACACAUUCAACAGCCAUUCAUCAGACAUUCCAAAACCACAACAGGUAGCGUGGGAGCUGCAGUGAACGAGGGGGGGCAGCAAGACAGAACUGUGGCUGAUGUGAGAAAGAAAUUGUCUGACCUUAAACUGCAAGGGAAAAGAAUGGCCCUACAUAAUCGCAGCAUUAAGGCACCGGGAGGGGGGCACGUCGGAGGUCUCCCAAAUGGUCGAGCGCAUCGGGUCAAUCACUGGGGAAAGCGCAUACACUGGCCCAUGCUCCGACGGCGACAGAGAAUGUUUUAAAAAAUAUAUACAUUUUCUCUUUUGCUUUAUUUUUCAAAUGGUUUAAUCCCAACUUUUACAUCGUAUAGCAGUAACUUCGGAAACGGUUAAAUUGGCUUGCGAAACCACCACGACUGGAUCACGAAACGCUGGAAGCUGCUUUGCAGCCUGUGCGCCCUCCACCCAGAGAUAAAGACCGAGGAAGGGACCUGGCAGAAAAUUCUGCUUCUUCAGUCAUUAAAUUAGAUUACAGGAAAAAACUACGCGAUGAAGGGGUCAGGACUGACUAACAAGGAAAGCGGAUGGACAGGUGGAUGGAUCAAGAUAACCAAGAGGAUCAACAAGGACAUUCCACAGAAGCAGAGUGGAGAUAAGGAAAACUAAGAGUGAACCAUAACAUAGUAUUUACUGUGUUAUAUAUAUAUAUAUAUAUAU
ensembl:lncRNA